GGAAGAGCUGCCCUCAGCGUGGCCGGGCAACAUCUAAUCGGCUGAAAGCUUGGAUCGAAUGAAAAGGCAGAGGAAAGGUUCUGAAGACCUCAAAUGGACUGAGCCACACUACCAGCAUCCAGCAUCCAUGGUUCUCCAGUCUGCAGAUGGCCUAUUAUGGGACUUUUCAGUCUUCAUAAUUAUAUGAGAGAAAGAAAAUGAAAAGGAUUUGUAAACUAUAAAUCUCUAAACAGAUGGGAGGAAAGGAAUUGAUGAAACAAUAAAUUUAUUGAUGAAACAAUAAAAAUAAACAUAAAGAACCAAAGCGUUUUGUAGAGAAGAGGACUCACUUUGUUGCCCAAGCAGGUCUUGAACUCCUAGCCUCAAGUGUCACUCCUGC
rnacentral:lncRNA from 1 species